rnacentral:sRNA from 1 species
CGGAAGUGGUGUUGCGGAGGGAACUGUGGGGAGAGCAGAGGGGCAGCUCUGCUGGAGAGACCUGAGGCUUGCAUCGCUGGGCCCGGCCGGGUCGCUGCGGCUGGGCUGGAGGUCAAGGAUGCAUUCCAGGAAAGUUCUAUAAAAAUAUACCAUCAACUCCAACCUGAUAUUUGACCUAGCCAUGGAAAACCUCAUUGGCUCCUCACUGGAUCAGACCAUAAAAAUGAUCCAGGAAUGAAAAUCUAAGAUAAAUUCCCACCACUUCAAGAUGUUCUUAUACAAGUCAACAGUCUAGCAGAUCAGCCAGUCUCUUUCAUCAUCAAGCAGACAUACUCAAGAAAGAGGAAUAGUGAAGUGAAAUACACAGAAGCAUGUUCAAGUUCAUCUGUUGAAUCUGGAAUUGUGAAUAGUGACAAUAUUGAGAAAAAUACUGACUCCAAUCUGCAAACUUCAACUUCAUUUGAGCCACAUUUCAAAAAGAAAAAAGUAAGUGCAAGACGUUAUAAUGAAGAUUACUUAAAAUAUGGCUUUAUCAAAUGUGAAAAACCCUUUGAAAAUGACAGACCUCAGUGUGUUAUUUGUAAUAAUAUUCUUGCGAAUGAAAGCUUAAAACCUUCGAAAUUAAAAAGGCACUUAGAAACUCAGCAUGCUGAACUUAUUGAUAAGCCUCUUGAAUAUUUUCAAAGAAAGAAAAAAGACAUAAAGUUAUCAACACAAUUUCUUAGUUGUUCUACUGCUGUUAGUGAGAAAGCCUUAUUAUCAUCAUAUUUAGUUGCAUAUCGUGUGGCAAAAGAGAAAAU